CUCAGAUUGAACGCUGGCGGCAGGCCUAACACAUGCAAGUCGAGCGGCAGCACGGGUACUUGUACCUGGUGGCGAGCGGCGGACGGGUGAGUAAUGCCUAGGAAUCUGCCUGGUAGUGGGGGAUAACGCUCGGAAACGGACGCUAAUACCGCAUACGUCCUACGGGAGAAAGCAGGGGACCUUCGGGCCUUGCGCUAUCAGAUGAGCCUAGGUCGGAUUAGCUAGUUGGUGAGGUAAUGGCUCACCAAGGCGACGAUCCGUAACUGGUCUGAGAGGAUGAUCAGUCACACUGGAACUGAGACACGGUCCAGACUCCUACGGGAGGCAGCAGUGGGGAAUAUUGGACAAUGGGCGAAAGCCUGAUCCAGCCAUGCCGCGUGUGUGAAGAAGGUCUUCGGAUUGUAAAGCACUUUAAGUUGGGAGGAAGGGCAUUUACCUAAUACGUAAGUGUUUUGACGUUACCGACAGAAUAAGCACCGGCUAACUCUGUGCCAGCAGCCGCGGUAAUACAGAGGGUGCAAGCGUUAAUCGGAAUUACUGGGCGUAAAGCGCGCGUAGGUGGUUUGUUAAGUUGGAUGUGAAAUCCCCGGGCUCAACCUGGGAACUGCAUUCAAAACUGACAAGCUAGAGUAUGGUAGAGGGUGGUGGAAUUUCCUGUGUAGCGGUGAAAUGCGUAGAUAUAGGAAGGAACACCAGUGGCGAAGGCGACCACCUGGACUGAUACUGACACUGAGGUGCGAAAGCGUGGGGAGCAAACAGGAUUA
rnacentral:rRNA from 1 species